UAGUAUUUUUAGUUGCUCAUAGGAAUAUCUUAAUGAAUUUCUAUUAAAAGGAAUUCCUUAUUGUUAUUCUUCUCACGUGUUGAACAUAAUUUCUUAUUAUGAUAAGAAUUCUAAAGAAAAAGUAAUCUUUUGUUUUCUCCCAGCUCCACGAAUUGCAUGAUGUUUCAUUACUGUCCUAGAAAAUCUCAGUGGCGUUAACAUUGUUGAAGAAAAGCUUGGCUGCAGGUCCAUCCAUUCACUGUCUACAAAAGUGCCUGGUUCGCUCAAUUAUAUUGUUAAUGUUGUGAACAGAUAUGCAUUUUGGUGGGUUGUAGUUGGGGUGGCGUCAUCAAUUGAACUUGAUGAGUUUGGUUGCACUGAUAGACUCAGUUUCAGCAUUCAGGCCAGACUUAAUUUCCAUCAAGGAGGCGAGUUCAAAGGGCC